CAGCAACAACAACAAAUAUGGCGGAAUCUGUAUUGCCAAACACGGAAGAAGAAGGAUACAACCAUAAUUAAACCAAGAAGUUUAUGAAGAAGGGAUCACUGGAUUUUGUCACUUGGUACAAGAAACAGAAAAGGAUAUCAUGGACCACCUUACUUAUACGGAAGCAUAGACGCUGUCGAAGGAAAUUGCUGCCAGACAGUCAGCAGUUAUCACUGACAGCCUGUCCUGGCCCAGCUUGGACCAUCCUCAAGCUAACCAUGAUGGUGUGUUUGCAAGAAUUGUCUAUUUGGUAGACCAUGAUGAAGACCAGCUUUGUUGUGGCAUGGCCUGACAAUACUGUACAAGCCAGAGACCAAAAAAGGGUUAAGUGAUGACUGAUCCUCUCACCCUACUUAUCCAGGAAACGUUUCGGAACAACGUGUUGGCACUGAAGAUGUGGAGGACACAGAUUGAUCACAGUACAUCCUUUGGAUACAUGGACACCUUCAAUGGGACGACAACAAAACUGUAUCUGCCUUUUUUUUGAAAGGAAGUAGUUAAUAAAAUUAUUGUUAACAGCUUUUUUAGUCUUGUUGUUUAAGAAUGCUUGCAACAUUUAAGUGGAUAAACGGUUGUUUUAAAUUUGAAUCUUCAGUAAUGCAUUCUUUAUUAAAUGAUGUAAUCUUAUUUCUUUUAAUAUAGUGUAAAUAAUAAGAACAUAAUUAUCCUUUGUAUACAAAAUGAAAACCAAGUUUACUGUUCUAUUAAUCAUUAUUUAUUUAUCUUGUUCUUUUGUCAGAAAUAUUACAGGGGCAUACAUACAGUAUUCCUUAAAUAAAAGGGGCAGGUCUUAUAAAAUUAACAUGUAUUUAAGCAAUGCAUAUUCAAACUUUUUUCACAUUUAUAACGAGCAACAAUAUGUAAGUAUUAUAAUGUAACACAAAUUAAUACUAUGAAUUUACUACUGAUUUUGCCGUGCCUGUCAUCAAAUAAACAUGUUUUACUGAAAGUUUCUUAAAAGAUGUUAUGUGGAAGACUUAAUCUUUCAUUUAAUAAAUAUUUGAGCCUUGCUCUGGGAAAAGGGGGUUUAAUGCAUGUACUUAAGGUUGUCCAAGAUUAGGCUUUGCAGACUGCACAGGCUAAUCAGGGGCAACACUUUCCGCCUUAUCUGGAUUUUCUCUAAGAGACUCCCUUUUAACAAAAAAUACAAUAAAGCAGCAAUUGUCUGCCUGAUUGGUAUGAUCAGCACAGGUUAAUCUUGUACGACAAUUUACGCACAUGCAUUAAGCCCCAUUUUCCCAGGGCAAGGCUCACCUUUUUAGGUUUUAGCUGUCUAUAUGCUCUUUAACUUUUGAAUCAUGAUGCAGUUUCAUAUAAUAAUGUAUUAUGAGUUGUUUUUAAUUGAUGCAUAUUCUUUUGUUCAGUGUUGAACUCAACAUGUAUUAUAAUAAGGUGUUCACUUAACAUUCUUGCAGUAAUGUUUUGCUGUGUAAUAUACAUGUAAUAAUAAAUCAAAAUUGAACAACUA